AAAAUGCUUGAUAUUCGUUUCACAGCUGACAUUUCCACGAACAGGGAUGGAUGAUUGAACUUUGAAGAUAUUGGAAUCUCCUAUUUGAAUCCAGAAGUCAAGAUAUCACGCCUUAGGAAAACAACAAGUAAUAGCAUGUUUGAAGGAAUGGUGAGCGUUGAAACUCUGAAUCGGGGUUUCAGAAGGGAAAAAGAAUCCUGCUCGGUUAUGUGAAGUUAAAAUCUAGUUUGAGUAGAAGUGGAAAAAAAAUGCAGCUUUUGGGAUCAGUUGAGAAUUUGACUUCAGACUUACUUUUUAGACAAAAGCCAAAACAUAUUGAUUUGUCUCUGAAGUGCAUAACUGAAGGUUGAAGUUGUUGCGGUCUUAGCCAACUAAGGGUGGCACUUUCACUUGGACUCUUUAAAGAAUAGCUCAAUUGCGAUGGACCUCAUUCGAAUUAGG
rnacentral:sRNA from 1 species